GACGAACGCUGGCGGCGUGCCUAACACAUGCAAGUCGAGCGGAGAUUAUAGCAAUAUAAUCUUAGCGGCGGACGGGUGAGUAACGCGUGGGCAACCUGCCUCAUACUGGGGGAUAACACUGGGAAACUAGUGCUAAUACCGCAUAAUAUCACUAGAUGGCAUCAUUUGGUGAUCAAAGGAGCAAUCCGGUGUGAGAUGGGCCCGCGUCCGAUUAGCUAGUUGGUGAUGUAACGGACCACCAAGGCGACGAUCGGUAGCCGAACUGAGAGGUUGAUCGGCCACAUUGGGACUGAGACACGGCCCAGACUCCUACGGGAGGCAGCAGUGGGGAAUAUUGCGCAAUGGGGGAAACCCUGACGCAGCAACGCCGCGUGAAGGAUGAAGGUCUUCGGAUUGUAAACUUCUUUGAUUGGGGACGAAUAAUGACGGUACCCAAAAAACAAGCCACGGCUAACUACGUGCCAGCCGCCGCAGUAA
rnacentral:rRNA from 1 species